AGUGAACGCUGGCGGUAGGCCUAACACAUGCGAGUCGAACGGCAGCACAGUAAGAGCUUGCUCUUACGGGUGGCGAGUGGCGGACGGGUGAGGAAUACAUCGGAAUCUACUUUUUCGUGGGGGAUAACGUAGGGAAACUUACGCUAAUACCGCAUAUGACCUACGGGUGGAAGCAGGGGAUCUUCGGACCUUGCGCGAUUGAAUGAGCCGAUGUCGGAUUAGCUAGUUGGCGGGGUAAAGGCCCACCAAGGCGACGAUCCGUAGCUGGUCUGAGAGGAUGAUCAGCCACACUGGAACUGAGACACGGUCCAGACUCCUACGGGAGGCAGCAGUGGGGAAUAUUGGACAAUGGGCGCAAGCCUGAUCCAGCCAUACCGCGUGGGUGAAGAAGGCCUUCGGGUUGUAAAGCCCUUUUGUUGGGAAAGAAAAGCAGCAGGUUAAUACCCCGCUGUUCUGACGGUACCCAAAGAAUAAGCACCGGCUAACUUCGUG
rnacentral:rRNA from 1 species